GGAAGGAAGCUCACUGUAGAGGCCACUAGCUUGGGUGUCUAUCACCCUACUUCCGCCUGUGGGAAGGUCUGAGGGAAGGGCCAAAUUGCCGCCCUAGCAGGGUGCCACCUUCUGAAGGUGGAGUGAGUUCCCACCAAUGUGGGUCUCCGAUGAAGCCCUAGAAUUGAGGCAGGAGAAGCGGAGAGGGGUCGUGGGUCGUGGGUCGUAGGCAUCCUCCCCGCGGAUGCCUCUGUGGCUCCGUUCGGGAUUUGAGAAUGACUUACGGCUGACAGCUUUGAGUACAAUGGGAAGAGGUGAAGCACCGCCAGCUUCAUAUAACCCAAUUCAGACCACUCUCCGGAAUUCC
rnacentral:RNase_P_RNA from 2 species